GCGUGCUUAACACAUGCAAGUCGAACGGAAAGGCCCUGCUUUUGUGGGGUGCUCGAGUGGCGAACGGGUGAGUAACACGUGAGUAACCUGCCCUUGACUUUGGGAUAACUUCAAGAAACUGGGGCUAAUACCGGAUAGGAGCUCCUGCUGCAUGGUGGGGGUUGGAAAGUUUCGGCGGUUGGGGAUGGACUCGCGGCUUAUCAGCUUGUUGGUGGGGUAGUGGCUUACCAAGGCUUUGACGGGUAGCCGGCCUGAGAGGGUGACCGGCCACAUUGGGACUGAGAUACGGCCCAGACUCCUACGGGAGGCAGCAGUGGGGAAUAUUGCACAAUGGGCGGAAGCCUGAUGCAGCAACGCCGCGUGCGGGAUGACGGCCUUCGGGUUGUAAACCGCUUUCGCCUGUGACGAAGCGUGAGUGACGGUAAUGGGUAAAGAAGCACCGGCUAACUACGUGCCAGCAGCCGCGGUGAUACGUAGGGUGCGAGCGUUGUCCGGAUUUAUUGGGCGUAAAGGGCUCGUAGGUGGUUGAUCGCGUCGGAAGUGUAAUCUUGGGGCUUAACCCUGAGCGUGCUUUCGAUACGGGUUGACUUGAGGAAGGUAGGGGAGAAUGGAAUUCCUGGUGGAGCGGUGGAAUGCGCAGAUAUCAGGAGGAACACCAGUGGCGAAGGCGGUUCUCUGGGCCUUUCCUGACGCUGAGGAGCGAAAGCGUGGGGAGCGAACAGGCUUAGAUACCCUGGUAGUCCACGCUGUAAACGGUGGGUACUAGGUGUGGGGUCCAUUCCACGGGUUCCGUGCCGUAGCUAACGCUUUAAGUACCCCGCCUGGGGAGUACGGCCGCAAGGCUAAAACUCAAAGGAAUUGACGGGGCCCCGCACAAGCGGCGGAGCAUGCGGAUUAAUUCGAUGCAACGCGUAGAACCUUACCUGGGUUUGACAUGGAUCGGGAGUGCUCAGAGAUGGGUGUGCCUCUUUUGGGGUCGGUUCACAGGUGGUGCAUGGCUGUCGUCAGCUCGUGUCGUGAGAUGUUGGGUUAAGUCCCGCAACGAGCGCAACCCUUGUUCACUGUUGCCAGCACGUUAUGGUGGGGACUCAGUGGAGACCGCCGGGGUCAACUCGGAGGAAGGUGGGGAUGACGUCAAGUCAUCAUGCCCCUUAUGUCCAGGGCUUCACGCAUGCUACAAUGGCUGGUACAGAGAGUGGCGAGCCUGUGAGGGUGAGCGAAUCUCGGAAAGCCGGUCUCAGUUCGGAUUGGGGUCUGCAACUCGACCUCAUGAAGUCGGAGUCGCUAGUAAUCGCAGAUCAGCAACGCUGCGGUGAAUACGUUCCCGGGGCUUGUACACACCGCCCGUCAAGUCAUGAAAGUUGGUAACACCCGAAGCCGGUGGCCUAACCGUUGUGGGGGAGCCGUCGAAGGUGGGACUGGUGAUUAGG
rnacentral:rRNA from 1 species